CGAAAUGCGAUAAGUAAUGUGAAUUGCAGAAUUCAGUGAAUCAUCGAAUCUUUGAACGCACAUUGCGCCCCUUGGUAUUCCGAGGGGCAUGCCUGUUCGAGCGUCAUUAU
rnacentral:rRNA from 1 species